CAGAGUGGGGCCUGGCUGGAGCUGGGGGGACAGAAGAGGAGGCUGUCAAGGUAAGCAGUCUGAAAAGAAGUCAAGGAAUAAGGCCUCCCCUGUGUACAGCGUCAGCUUGCCCCGCAGGAAAUUGGAGUAGAUUCGGAAAAGUUUGCACAAAGUAUCAACAGUGAAUGUUCG